AGUCUGAAGCUCCUCACAAGCCAGACCUGCCUAGAAUCUGGGUGGAGAACAGUGAGGGAAGGGUACAUUUUGAGAUGACCCUGGGGUUCUAUGUACUUAGGAAACCAGGAGCAGGGGAGGACCGGCACAUCAAAGAGAACAUGCUUCAGCCGCACAGUAGCCUGGAAACUCAGAGAAACAACAACCAGGGAACAGAGAGGAGUGUCCUCAAGAGGCUCAACUGAGAACUGAGAAGUUCCCAACUGCUGUGGACUUUCCUCUGUUCCUGCUGCCUUCCCAGGGUGAAUAAGGAGGAUUGGUAAUCAUCCACAUGGAAAGGGACUCCAUGCUGCUGUUGGAGGUUCAUGCUGCUGUCCGAGGCUGCAACAAAGCCUGAGAAACAUGAGGACUUACACAGUCUGUACUACUUCUUGAUGCCUUGGUGAAGUUCUCGGGCUUUGCUCCCUCAUGGAGCCAUGUUGAGGUGAGCAGUAUAUGUAAACCACCGGACACCACGUUGAGGUUCCUCGACUAUGCAGUCACUGAGGGCCAUGAGUUGGUCACUGGUCCUGAUGUACCCAAGGUCAGUGUUAUGUCUUCACCUAUAUUACCACCUAAGCCAGUGCUGCCUGAAGCCAUGUUAUUGCCCAAGACUACGGGAGGAGUUGGCCCCUCCCCUUAGUGGCAGUCACACAGAGGCACUAGCUAUGGAUGAUGGAGAGCUGGCCCAAAGCACUGCAGUAUGGGAGGGUAAGGAAUGGGAAAACUAACUCCAGACACCUCAUAGCUCUCUUCAGAUGAUGGUUUUUGGCAUGGAUGCAGGAGGAGGAAGAUUCUUUCUCUUUUUGGGGUAUUGCCACUAGGAAUUUGAUGAUGCUUUGGUGACGAAAUGGACCAUACAAAAGGGACAUUUCCCCUCUUUUAUGUGGGAGGAGGUCAAGAGGAGAAGG